AUGAACGCUAGCGACAGGCCUAACACAUGCAAGUCAGGGGCAGCACAAGGAGCAAUCUGAGGUGGCGACCGGCGCACGGGUGAGUAACACGUAUGCAACCUGCCUGUAAGCGGGGAAUAACCCGUUGAAAGACGGACUAAUACCGCAUAAUACUAAAUUACUGCAUGGUAAUUUAUUUAAACAUUUAUGGCUUACAGAUGGGCAUGCGCAUGAUUAGCUAGUUGGAGAGGUAACGGCUCCCCAAGGCAACGAUCAUUAGGGGUUCUGAGAGGAAGGUCCCCCACACUGGUACUGAGACACGGACCAGACUCCUACGGGAGGCAGCAGUGAGGAAUAUUGGUCAAUGGACGAGAGUCUGAACCAGCCAAGUCGCGUGCAGGAAGAAUGUCCUUAAUGGAUUGUAAACUGCUUUUGCAGGGGAAUAAAGUGCAUCACGUGUGAUGUUUUGUAUGUACUCUGCGAAUAAGGAUCGGCUAACUCCGUGCCAGCCGCUGC
rnacentral:rRNA from 1 species